AGUGAACGCUGGCGGUAGGCCUAACACAUGCAAGUCGAACGGCAGCACAGUAAGAGCUUGUUCUUAGGGGUGGCGAGUGGCGGACGGGUGAGGAAUACAUCGGAAUCUACUUUUUCGUGGGGGAUAACGUAGGGAAACUUACGCUAAUAACGUAUACGACCUACGGGUGAAAGCAGGGGAUCUUCGGACCUUGCGCGAUUGAAUGAGCCGAUGUCGGAUUAGCUAGUUGGAGGGGUAAAGACCCACCAAGGCAACGAUCCGUAGCUGGUCUGAGAGGAUGAUAAGCCACACUGGAACUAAGACAGGGUACAGACACCUACGGGAGGCAGCCGUGGGGAAUAGUGGACAAUGGGCGCAAGCCUGAUCCAGCCACACCGCGUCGGUGAAGAAGGCCUUCGGGUUGUAAAGCACUUUUGUUGGUAAAGAAAAGAAGCAGGUUAAUACCCCGGUGUACUGACGGUACCCAAAGAAUAAGCACCGGCUAACGCCGUG
rnacentral:rRNA from 1 species